rnacentral:rRNA from 1 species
GUGAGGAAUAUUGCGCAAUGGAGGCAACUCUGACGCAGCCAUGCCGCGUGCAGGAAGAAGGCGCUACGCGUUGUAAACUGCUUUUAACCGGGAAGAAACCCCAGGACGUGUCCUGGGUUGACGGUACCGGAGGAAUAAGCACCGGCUAACUUCGUGCCAGCAGCCGCGGUAAUACGAAGGGUGCAAGCGUUAUCCGGAUUCAUUGGGUUUAAAGGGUGCGUAGGCGGAGCGUUAAGUCAGUGGUGAAAUCCUGCAGCUUAACUGUAGACGUGCCAUUGAUACUGGCGCUCUUGAGUGCGCUUGAAGUGGGCGGAAUGUGCCGUGUAGCGGUGAAAUGCUUAGAUAUGGCACAGAACACCAAUUGCGAAGGCAGCUCACUAAGGCGAUACUGACGCUGAGGCACGAAAGCGUGGGGAUCGAACAGGAUUAGAUACCCGGGUAGUCC